UACAGAGGUCCCAAGCGUUGUUCGGAUUCACUGGGCGUAAAGGGUGCGUAGGUGGCCAGGUAAGUUCGGUGUGAAAGCUCGGAGCUUAACUCCGAAAUGUCAUUGAAUACUAUCUGGCUGGAGGGUCGGAAGGGAGACUGGAAUUCUCGGUGUAGCAGUGAAAUGCGUAGAUAUCCGGAGGAAUACCAAAGGCGAAGGCAGUGUCCUGGGGAGUGUCUGACGCUCAGGCGCGAAAGCUAGGGGAGCGAACAGG
rnacentral:rRNA from 1 species